rnacentral:rRNA from 1 species
AGAGUUUGAUCAUGGCUCAGAUUGAACGCUGGCGGCAGGCCUAACACAUGCAAGUCGAGCGGUAACACAGAGAGCUUGCUCUCGGGUGACGAGCGGCGGACGGGUGAGUAAUGUCUGGGAAACUGCCUGAUGGAGGGGGAUAACUACUGGAAACGGUAGCUAAUACCGCAUAAUGUCGCAAGACCAAAGUGGGGGACCUUCGGGCCUCAUGCCAUCAGAUGUGCCCAGAUGGGAUUAGCUAGUAGGUGGGGUAACGGCUCACCUAGGCGACGAUCCCUAGCUGGUCUGAGAGGAUGACCAGCCACACUGGAACUGAGACACGGUCCAGACUCCUACGGGAGGCAGCAGUGGGGAAUAUUGCACAAUGGGCGCAAGCCUGAUGCAGCCAUGCCGCGUGUGUGAAGAAGGCCUUCGGGUUGUAAAGCACUUUCAGCGGGGAGGAAGGCGAUAAGGUUAAUAACCUUGUCGAUUGACGUUACCCGCAGAAGAAGCACCGGCUAACUCCGUGCCAGCAGCCGCGGUAAUACGGAGGGUGCAAGCGUUAAUCGGAAUUACUGGGCGUAAAGCGCACGCAGGCGGUCUGUCAAGUCGGAUGUGAAAUCCCCGGGCUCAACCUGGGAACUGCAUUCGAAACUGGCAGGCUAGAGUCUUGUAGAGGGGGGUAGAAUUCCAGGUGUAGCGGUGAAAUGCGUAGAGAUCUGGAGGAAUACCGGUGGCGAAGGCGGCCCCCUGGACAAAGACUGACGCUCAGGUGCGAAAGCGUGGGGAGCAAACAGGAUUAGAUACCCUGGUAGUCCACGCCGUAAACGAUGUCGAUUUGGAGGUUGUGCCCUUGAGGCGUGGCUUCCGGAGCUAACGCGUUAAAUCGACCGCCUGGGGAGUACGGCCGCAAGGUUAAAACUCAAAUGAAUUGACGGGGGCCCGCACAAGCGGUGGAGCAUGUGGUUUAAUUCGAUGCAACGCGAAGAACCUUACCUGGUCUUGACAUCCACAGAACUUUCCAGAGAUGGAUUGGUGCCUUCGGGAACUGUGAGACAGGUGCUGCAUGGCUGUCGUCAGCUCGUGUUGUGAAAUGUUGGGUUAAGUCCCGCAACGAGCGCAACCCUUAUCCUUUGUUGCCAGCGGUUAGGCCGGGAACUCAAAGGAGACUGCCAGUGAUAAACUGGAGGAAGGUGGGGAUGACGUCAAGUCAUCAUGGCCCUUACGACCAGGGCUACACACGUGCUACAAUGGCAUAUACAAAGAGAAGCGACCUCGCGAGAGCAAGCGGACCUCAUAAAGUAUGUCGUAGUCCGGAUUGGAGUCUGCAACUCGACUCCAUGAAGUCGGAAUCGCUAGUAAUCGUAGAUCAGAAUGCUACGGUGAAUACGUUCCCGGGCCUUGUACACACCGCCCGUCACACCAUGGGAGUGGGUUGCAAAAGAAGUAGGUAGCUUAACCUUCGGGAGGGCGCUUACCACUUUGUGAUUCAUGACUGGGGUGAAGUCGUAACAAGGUAACCGUAGGGGAACCUGCGGUUGGAUCACCU